CACGUAGUUAGCCGUGGCUUUCUGGUUAAGUACCGUCAUCUCAAGGCCAGUUACUACCUCAAGUGUUCUUCCUUAACAACAGAGUUUUACGAGCCGAAACCCUUCAUCACUCACGCGGCGUUGCUCCGUCAGACUUUCGUCCAUUGCGGAAGAUUCCCUACUGCUGCCUCCCGUAGGAGUCUGGGCCGUGUCUCAGUCCCAGUGUGGCCGAUCACCCUCUCAGGUCGGCCAUGCAUCGUCGCCUUGGUGAGCCACUAUCUCACCAACUAGCUAAUGCACCGCAGGCCCAUCCAUGAGCGGCAGAUAAAUCCGCCUUUUAACAAUUCCACUUAUGUGGAAAAGUCGUAUCCGGUAUUAGCUACCGUUUCCGGUAGUUAUCCCAAUCUCAAGGGUAGGUUGCCUACGUGUUACUCACCCGUCCGCCGCUCGAUCAUGAGGAGCAAGCUCCUCAAUCUCGCGCUCGACUUGCAUGUAUUGGCACGCCGCCAGCGUUCA
rnacentral:rRNA from 1 species